AUGUCGCCGAUACCGUCGCUCCUCCUCCUCCUCGUCAUACCCGCCGUCCUCGCAGCCGACGGCGGGAAGAAAAAGCUGACGCACAUCCACCAGUACACUCACGAGACGCUCUCGGGCCCGAACGCCAUGGAGGGGCUCCUCGUGCCGUCCCCCUUCGGCGCCAACGCGACGUUCGGGCAGGUGGCCGUGUUCGACGACGAGCUCCGCACCGGCCGGGAGCGGGACUCGCCACUCGUGGCGCGGUACCAGGGCAUCAUCGUCGCCAUGGGGCAGGCGCUGCAGGGCCACCUGACGGUCGCCACCGUCGUGUUCGUCGGCGGGGAGCACGCCGGGAGCGCGCUGUCCGUGGAGGGCUCCUUCCAGGGCUUCCAGGGAACCUCCGAGCGCAACAUCGUGGGCGGCAGCGGCAAGUUCAGGAUGGCGCGCGGGUACUACCUGCUCAAGCUCCUCGGCCAGAUGUCGCCGGCCACCUCCGAGGUCGACUUCUUCGUGCUCCCGUGCGACAGCGCCUACCUUUAA
rnacentral:rRNA from 1 species